CGCAACAAUGACAGAAUUUAGAAAACCAUCAAAAUAGUAUGAUUCUCCGUAUGUGAUUGGAAGAGUCAACUUGAACACUUUAAACUGAUCUGAACAAACUGCACGAGGCAUUGCAAAUGUUUACUCGGUGUUGUAUUGAUUCUUGACUGGCUGUUAAUUUUAUACAAGCUAAAGACGACCUUAUUUUGAAUAUAAGUAAGUUUUUUUUUUAUAAUUAGUUUUAUGUAAUUUUAUGUAAAAUAUUCAAUCGUGUUUUAUAUGUAUCUAAGUAUUUAGUAAAGGAAUAUUUGCCAGUGUGACCGAGCGGACGACAUUCUGAAAUAUCUAUCGAGGUUUGAGUCCAAUCGUUAGAACCUUCUCUUUUUUUUUUAAAUUUUUUAUUGGUUUUUUUAAAAAUUCAAAAAUAGAACACAAUAAAAAGAGAA